rnacentral:rRNA from 1 species
UACGUAGGGGGCAAGCGUUGUCCGGAUUUAUUGGGCGUAAAGAGCGUGUAGGCGGCCAUGUAGGUCCGUUGUGAAAACUCGAGGCUCAACCUCGAGACGCCGAUGGAAACCAUGUGGCUAGAGUCCGGAAGAGGAGAGUGGAAUUCCUGGAUGUAGCGGUGAAAUGCGCAGAUAUCGGAAGGAACACCAGUGGCGAAAGCGGCUUCCUGGUCCAGCACCGACGUCAGGCACGAAAGCGUGGGGAGCAAACAGG